rnacentral:rRNA from 1 species
GAUGAACGCUGGCGGCGUGCUUAACACAUGCAAGUCGAACGGUGAAGCCAAGCUUGCUUGGUGGAUCAGUGGCGAACGGGUGAGUAACACGUGAGCAACCUGCCCUGGACUCUGGGAUAAGCGCUGGAAACGGCGUCUAAUACUGGAUAUGAGCCUCUUCUGCAUGGUGGGGGUUGGAAAGAUUUUUUGGUCUGGGAUGGGCUCGCGGCCUAUCAGCUUGUUGGUGAGGUAAUGGCUCACCAAGGCGUCGACGGGUAGCCGGCCUGAGAGGGUGACCGGCCACACUGGGACUGAGACACGGCCCAGACUCCUACGGGAGGCAGCAGUGGGGAAUAUUGCACAAUGGGCGAAAGCCUGAUGCAGCAACGCCGCGUGAGGGAUGACGGCCUUCGGGUUGUAAACCUCUUUUAGCAGGGAAGAAGCGAAAGUGACGGUACCUGCAGAAAAAGCGCCGGCUAACUACGUG